UACGUAGGUGGCAAGCGUUAUCCGGAAUUAUUGGGCGUAAAGCGCGCGCAGGCGGUUCCUUAAGUCUGAUGUGAAAGCCCACGGCUCAACCGUGGAGGGUCAUUGGAAACUGGGUAACUUGAGUGCAGAAGAGAAGAGCGGAAUUCCACGUGUAGCGGUGAAAUGCGUAGAGAUGUGGAGGAACACCAGUGGCGAAGGCGGCUCUUUGGUCUGUAACUGACGCUGAGGCGCGAAAGCGUGGGGAGCAAACAGG
rnacentral:rRNA from 1 species